CAAGAGAGCGCGAAACCGUUAGGAGGGAAGUGCAGGGCAGCGAGCGGAAGGCCCUUGGUGGAAUUCAGCCGUCUGCAGGUCUCCGACAGUGGGCGACCAGUGGCGGUGCACUUUUCGCCAGGGCACGUCAGCGGCGAUUGCCCCGAUCCCGCAAGGCGKCGGAGGAUGUCUCUCCGGAGGCCAGGUAACCGGGACGGCUCUCGGGUCGUCUCGGAGCGUAUACUCUKCCGUCUGGGGCGUCGGGGCGAUCGAGGAGUGGGUUCGUUCCGUSGGCGUCCAUUCGCCUGGAGCAAAGGCAGGUGCGGGCCAGAGGGUUUGGCCGGGCGGCCCCUGGCGACCGUGAGAUCCGAGCGAGUUCUGCCCCGUCCUCGUGGCGGGCGGCUCGUGCGGGUUCUCUCGGCGUCGGGGUGUCCGUCUCGCCCGCGCCUAGGUGGCUGACGUGGAGUCGUUGCCGUGCGU
rnacentral:rRNA from 1 species